CAGUCACUACCACACUGCCAC
rnacentral:miRNA from 1 species